rnacentral:rRNA from 1 species
UACGAGGGGUGCAAGCGUUGCUCGGAAUUAUUGGGCGUAAAGGGUAGGUAGGUGGUCUCAUUUGUCUCAUGUGAAAGCCUUGGGCUUAACUCAAGAAGUGCGUGAGAAACGGUGAGACUGGAGUCCCGGAGAGGGUCGUGGAAUUCCCGGUGUAGCGGUGAAAUGCGUAGAGAUCGGGAGGAACACCAGCGGCGAAGGCGGCGACCUGGACGGGCACUGACACUCAACUACGAAAGCGUGGGGAGCAAACAGGAUUAGAUACCCUGGUAGUCCACGCUGUAAACGAUGGGUACUAGAUUAGGUGGGUCUUGACCCCUGCCGAAUCGGCGCUAACGCACUAAGUACCCCGCCUGGGAAGUACGGUCGCAAGACUAAA